CACGACUACGAGUUUGAUCCUGGCUCAGAUUGAACGCUGGCGGUAUGCUUAAGACAUGCAAGUCGUGCGGUAGAAGGCUUCGGCCUUUGAGAGCGGCGGACGGGUGAGUAACACGUGGGAAUCUGCCUAUUAGUGGGGGACAGCCCAGCGAAAGCUGGAUUAAUACCGCAUACGCCCUACGGGGGAAAGCAGCAAUGCGCUAAUAGAUGAGCCCGCGUAAGAUUAGCUAGUUGGUAAGGUAAAGGCUUACCAAGGCGACGAUCUUUAGCUGGUCUGAGAGGAUGGCCAGCCACAUCGGGACUGAGACACGGCCCGGACUCCUACGGGAGGCAGCAGUCGGGAAUAUUGGACAAUGGGCGCAAGCCUGAUCCAGCAAUACCGCGUGUGUGAAGAAGGCCUGCGGGUUGUAAAGCACUUUCAGUUGGGAAGAUAAUGACGUUACCAACAGAAGAAGCACCGGCUAACUCCGUG
rnacentral:rRNA from 1 species